UAACGUAAAAGGUACAAAUCUAAAAAAAAAAUUGGUUUCAUAAAAGUAUCUUAUUUGAAGGUGUUUAGUAAACUUUUUUGUGAUUGAUUAUGAGUCCUGGACCUCAUGGUGGCGGGCAUGGAGGACACGGAGGUCAUCAUGGCCCACCUGGACAUCACGGUCCACCUGGACAUCAUGGUCCACCUCAUUUUGGACCACCCGCACACCAUGGCCCACCUCAUUUAGGUCCACCAGGACACCAUAGACCACCGCCUAUGGGUCCUCCAGGACAUGGACCACAUUUUCAUCCACCCCCACCACCACCUCAUCAUGGGAGGACUCGAGUAGUUUGUUGUCCAUGUUGUACUGUACUCUGAUGAAGAGUUUCGUAGUUUUGGUUGAUAAAUACUGGAUAUCAACAUUUAUUACUUAUUUAGAGUUUAUUUAAGAUUUUGGAUUAUGUGAGAUAAAGUUAAUAAAUUCUAUGUUUUUAAA